rnacentral:rRNA from 1 species
UACGUAGGUGGCAAGCGUUAUCCGGAAUUAUUGGGCGUAAAGAGCGCGCAGGUGGUUAAUUAAGUCUGAUGUGAAAGCCCACGGCUUAACCGUGGAGGGUCAUUGGAAACUGGUUGACUUGAGUGCAGAAGAGGGAAGUGGAAUUCCAUGUGUAGCGGUGAAAUGCGUAGAGAUAUGGAGGAACACCAGUGGCGAAGGCGGCUUCCUGGUCUGCAACUGACACUGAGGCGCGAAAGCGUGGGGAGCAA